AGAACGAACGCUGGCGGCAUGCCUAAUACAUGCAAGUCGAACGAACUCUUCGGAGUUAGUGGCGCACGGGUGCGUAACGCGUGGGAAUCUGCCCCUUGGUUCGGAAUAACAGUUGGAAACGACUGCUAAUACCGGAUGAUGACGAAAGUCCAAAGAUUUAUCGCCAAGGGAUGAGCCCGCGUAGGAUUAGCUAGUUGGUGAGGUAAAGGCUCACCAAGGCAACGAUCCUUAGCUGGUCUGAGAGGAUGAUCAGCCACACUGGGACUGAGACACCGGCCCAGACUCCGUACGGGAGC
rnacentral:rRNA from 1 species